GACGAACCGUGCGAACGUUGUUCGGAAUUACUGGGCGUAAAGGGCGCGUAGGCGGCCUCGCAAGUCCCGUGUGAAAUCCCUCGGCUCAACUGAGGAAUGGCACGGGAAACUGCGGGGCUUGAGUUCGGGAGAGGGAAGCGGAAUUCCGGGUGUAGCGGUGAAAUGCGUAGAUAUCCGGAGGAACACCGGUGGCGAAGGCGGCUUCCUGGACCGAUACUGACGCUGAGGCGCGAAAGCUAGGGGAGCAAACGGG
rnacentral:rRNA from 1 species